AUUUUUUUAUCAUUACUCAAUGAAUUUUAUUACAUUUAUAGUUGUACAAUGAUAAUCAGAACCCCAUUUUAUUGCAUUUCCAUACCAAACCCCCCACCCCACAACCUGUCUCAUUUGGAAACCAUAAGUUUUUUCAAAGUCGGUGGGUCAGUAUCUGUUCUGCAAAGAAGUUCAUUGUGUCAAAGUUUUUUUUAAAUUCCACAGCUAAGUGAUAGCAUAUGACAUUUGUGUCUCACUGUCUAACUUCACUUAGCAUGAUAAUUUCUAGGUCCAUCCAUGUUGUUACAAAUGCCGUUAUUUCUUUCCUUUUAAUGGCUGAAUAAUAUUCCAUUGUGUAUAUGUACCACAUCUUCUUUAUCCAUGCCGCUGUUGAUGGACAUUUAGGUUGUUUCCAUGUCUUGGCUAUUGUAUAUAGUGCUUCAAUGAACAUCGGAGUACAGGUAUCUUUUCGAGUCAUGGUUUUCUCUGGAUAGAUGCCCAGAAGUGGGAUUGCUGGAUCAAAUGGUAAUUCUAUUUUUAGUUUUCUGAGCAAUCUCCAUACUGUUUGCCACAGUGGUUGUACUGAUUUACAUUCCCACCAACAGUGUAAUAGGUUUCCCUUUUCUCCACACCCUCUCCAGCAUUUAUUGUUUGUAGACUUUUGGAUGAUGGCCAUUCUGGUCUGCGUAAGGUUGUACCUCAGAGUGGUUUUGAUUUGCACUUCUCUAAUAAUUAGUGAUAUUGACCAUCUCUGCAUGUGUUUUUUGGCCUCUGUAUGUCUUUGGAGAAAUUUCCAUUUAGAUCUUCUGCCCAUUUUUUGAUGGGGUUGUUUGUUUUUUUUGGUAUUGAGCUGCAGAAGGUGUUUAUAAGUUUUGGAGAUUUAUCCCUUGUCAGUCGCUUCAUUUGCAAAUAUUUUCUCCCAUUCUGUGGGUUGUCUUUUUGUUUUAUUUAGGAUUUCCUUUGCUGUGGAGAAACUUUUAAAUUUAAUUAAGUCCCAUUUAUUUUUAUUUUUAUUGUCAUUACUCUAGGUGGUGGACCUGAUAAGAUACUGCCGUGAUUUAUAUAGGAGAGUGUUCAGCCUAUGUUUUCCUCUAGGAGUUUUAUUGUAUCUGGUCUUAUAUUUAGGUCUUUAAGCCAUUUUGAGUUUAUUUUAGUGUGUGGUGUUAGAAAGUGUUCUAGGAUGUAUAGAAAUGCAGUUGAUAUUUGUGUAUUAAUUUUGUAUCCUAUGGCUUUUCCAAAUUCAUUGAUGAGCUCUAAGAGUUUUCUGGUAGAGUCUUUAGGAUUUUCUAGGUAUAAUAUCAUGUCAUCUGCAAAUAGUGAUAGUUUUGCUUCUUCCUUUCCAAUUUGGAUUCCUUUUAUUUAUUUUUCUUCUCCGAUUGCCAUGGCCAUAGGAUUCCUUUCAGGCCCUUCAGAAUAACUAACUGUAUGUCCCUUGAGAGGGAUGUUGAAAUUUUGGGGGAGGUUAACAGUCUGAUUGCUAAGAAUGUUCUUCAUUCUUAUAGAUGCAGCAAAAUGAAUCAAUAGGAUAAAAUGGCAAUAAAGAUUUUAAUAAUGACUUCAAUCUUUUGAUUCACAUAGCUUAAAAUUUUUCAUGAAGUCCAACUUGUCUAUUUCUUCUUUUUCCUUUUUUCUUUUUGGCCUUGCCCCCUGGCAUGUGGAAAUUCCUGGGUCAGGGAUCAAACCUGGGCUGCUGCAGUGACAAUGCCAGAGUUUUAA
rnacentral:lncRNA from 1 species